GACGUCGAUAUUCGACGUCAUAAACACGAUUAACGUUGGUGUUUAUAACGUCGAUCUUCGACGUCCAUAAACACGAUCAACUUUGGUGUUUAUGACGUCGAUAUUCGACGUCAUAAACACGAUCAACAUUGGUGGUUAUGACGUCGACAUUCGACGUCAUAAACACGAUCAACUUGGGUGUUCAUGACGUCGAUAUACGACGUCAUAAACACGAUCAAAUUUGGUGUUUAUGACGUCGAUAUUCGACGUCAUAAACACAAUCAACUUAGGUGUUGAUGACGUCGAUAAUCGAUGUC
rnacentral:miRNA from 1 species